rnacentral:rRNA from 1 species
GACUGAGGCUACCUUGUUACGACUUCACCCCAGUUAUCGGUCCCGCCUUCGGCAGCUCCCUCCUUGCGGUUGGGUCACUGACUUCGGGCGUUACUGACUCCCAUGGUGUGACGGGCGGUGUGUACAAGACCCGGGAACGUAUUCACCGCGACAUUCUGAUUCGCGAUUACUAGCGAUUCCAGCUUCAUGUAGUCGAGUUGCAGACUACAAUCCGAACUGAGACGUUAUUUUUGAGAUUUGCUCGGCCUCGCGGCUCUGCCUCCCUUUGUUUACGCCAUUGUAGCACGUGUGUAGCCCUGCCCAUAAGGGGCAUGAUGAUUUGACGUCAUCCC